rnacentral:ncRNA from 1 species
UGACCUCAGAUCAGGCAAGGCUACCCGCUGAAUUUAAGCAUAUUAAUAAGCGGAGGAAAAGAAACUAACAAGGAUUCCCCUAGUAAUGGCGAAUGAAGCGGGAACAGCUCAAAUUUAAAAUCUCCGUUGCUUGCAACGGCGAAUUGUAGUUUCGAGAAGCACUUUCUCGGCGGAUCCGAGGUCGUCCAAGUUGCUUGGAACAGCACGUCGUAGAGGGUGACAACCCCGUCUGCGGCGACCUCGGCCGUUCACGAUGUGCUUUCGACGAGUCGGGUUGUUUGGGAAUGCAGCCCAAAAUGGGUGGUAAACUCCAUCUAAAGCUAAAUAUUGGCACGAGACCGAUAGCGAACAAGUACCGUGAGGGAAAGAUGAAAAGCACUUUGAAAAGAGAGUUAAAAAGUACAUGAAACCGUUAAAAGGGAAACGAAUGGGGUUAGCAAUGCGUCGUGCGAGAUUC